UGCUGCCGGGGGAGCUUCUCCUCCCCGGGCCCGUGUCCGCCGGGGACACCGCAAGAACCGUCGGUGAACGAUUGGCGUCUGAGCAUGAGAGCGAUAAUAAUCCAGUCAAAACUUUCAACAACGGAUCUCUUGGUUCCGACAUCGAUGAAGAACGCAGCGAAAUGCGAUAAGUAAUGUGAAUUGCAGAAUUCCGUGAAUCAUCGAAUCUUUGAACGCACAUUGCGCCCCCUGGUAUUCCGGGGGGCAUGCCUGUCCGAGCGUCAUUGCAACCCUCAAGCGCGGCUUGUGUGUUGGGCCGUCGUCCCCCCUCGACCGGCGGGACGUGCCCGAAAUGCAGUGGCGGUGUCGAGUUCCGGUGCCCGAGCGUAUGGGGCUUUGCCACCCGCUCUGGAGGCCCGGCCGGCUCCUGCCCACCAU
rnacentral:misc_RNA from 1 species